CCUUGGUGGUGUAGUGGUAAGACGCGCUCCUGGUGUGAGUGAAACGCGGGUUGAACUCCCGCCUGAGUUCGA